rnacentral:rRNA from 1 species
AUUGAACGCUGGCGGCAUGCCUUACACAUGCAAGUCGAACGGUAACAGGUUAAGCUGACGAGUGGCGAACGGGUGAGUAAUGUAUCGGAACGUGCCCAGUCGUGGGGGAUAACUGCUCGAAAGAGCAGCUAAUACCGCAUACGACCUGAGGGUGAAAGCGGGGGAUCGCAAGACCUCGCGCGAUUGGAGCGGCCGAUAUCAGAUUAGGUAGUUGGUGAGGUAAAGGCUCACCAAGCCGACGAUCUGUAGCUGGUCUGAGGGGACGACCAGCCACACUGGGACUGAGACACGGCCCAGACUCCUACGGGAGGCAGCAGUGGGGAAUUUUGGACAAUGGGCGCAAGCCUGAUCCAGCCAUGCCGCGUGCGGGAAGAAGGCCUUCGGGUUGUAAACCGCUUUUGUCAGGGAAGAAAAGGUUCUGGCUAAUACCUGGGACUCAUGACGGUACCUGAAGAAUAAGCACCGGCUAACUACGUG